AUCAGCCAGUGCACUGUUCCAAGAAGAACCUCAUUCUCUCGACAUGCGCUGCACUUGCCUGGUCGACGGCGUUCUUUUGCCAAGCGAUGCGGUACGGUCCCGCCGUGCCUUUCUUCACCACGCAAGGAACGAUGAUCUCAUCGCCCAGACUGACAUCAGGAGGAAAGGCGAACUCCAGAAGCCUCGGAGGGCCUGUGAUCAUCGGAGCCAUCGGGGAACGCAUUAUCAUUUUUAGAAAUAAAGCUUUUUCUGUCGCCAAAA